rnacentral:rRNA from 1 species
CCGAGUUUUCAAGUCCCGAAACCCCAUGUGAACUUAUACCAUUUACAACCGUUGCUUCGGCGGGUUCUCGCCCCGGGCUUUACACCCCGGAACCAGGCGGCCCGCCGGGGGACCCAAACUCUAGAUUUUUAUUUUAGCAUGUCUGAGUGGAAUCAUUACAAAAUGAAUCAAAACUUUCAACAACGGAUCUCUUGGUUCUGGCAUCGAUGAAGAACGCAGCGAAAUGCGAUAAGUAAUGUGAAUUGCAGAAUUCAGUGAAUCAUCGAAUCUUUGAACGCACAUUGCGCCCGCCAGUAUUCUGGCGGGCAUGCCUGUUCGAGCGUCAUUUCAACCCUCAAGCCCCAGCGGUUUGGUGUUGGGGACCGGCGAGUACAGAGGCUUUGGGGACUUGUCCCCCUUCCCUCGGCGCCGCCCCCGAAAUGAAUUGGCGGUCUCGUCGCGGCCUCCUCUGCGUAGUAGCACAACCUCGCAUCAGGAGCGCGGCGCGGCCACUGCCGUAAAACGCCCAACUUUAUUUUAACG